rnacentral:rRNA from 1 species
GACGAACGCUGGCGGCGUGCUUAACACAUGCAAGUCGAACGAGAGCGUAGAGAAAGCUUGCUUUUUCUACAAUCUAGUGGCAAACGGGUGAGUAACGCGUAAACAACCUGCCCUACGGAUGGGGACAACAGCUGGAAACGGCUGCUAAUACCGAAUACGUUCCGAAAGUCGCAUGACUAUCGGAAGAAAGGAUGGCCUCUAUUUAUAAGCUAUCGCCGGAGGAGGGGUUUGCGUCUGAUUAGCUAGUUGGAGGGGGAACGGCCCACCAAGGCGACGAUCAGUAGCCGGUCUGAGAGGAUGAACGGCCACAUUGGAACUGAGACACGGUCCAGACUCCUACGGGAGGCAGCCGUGGGGAAUCUUCCGCAAUGGGCGAAAGCCUGACGGAGCAACGCCGCGUGAGUGAAGACGGCCUUCGGGUUGUAAAGCUCUGUUAUACGGGACGAAUAAUCUUGUGGUUAAUACCCAUGAGAAGUGACGGUACCGUAAGAGAAAGCCACGGCUAACUACGUG